UGAGAUUUUCAGGGUCGGGUGAGUUCAUCAAUAUAUAUUAAGAUUGAUGAAUAAUUCCCUACCGGCGGUAUAGCCCGCGACUUGGCUGCUGUAAGUCAGCAGCUGACUGAACCGGUGGAAUUCCGGUGCCGACGGUAUAGUCCGGAUGAAAGAAAAUCGAG
rnacentral:ncRNA from 2 species